rnacentral:rRNA from 1 species
UACGAAGGGGGGCUAGCGUUGCUCGGAAUGACUGGGCGUAAAGGGCGCGUAGGCGGCGCAGUUAGUCAGGCGUGAAAUUCCUGGGCUCAACCUGGGGACUGCGCUUGAUACGGCUGUGCUUGAGGAUGGAAGAGGCUCGCGGAAUUCCCAGUGUAGAGGUGAAAUUCGUAGAUAUUGGGAAGAACACCGGUGGCGAAGGCGGCGAGCUGGUCCAUUACUGACGCUGAGGCGCGACAGCGUGGGGGAGCAAACAGG